rfam:Brassica napus, WGS project CCCW01000000 data, contig: 18345
UAAUGAAUGUAGCAUGGUACUGUACACGUAAAGUGAACUAUGGAUCGACAUGUCUGCCAUCUUUGAGUUUUCAUGAUUAGACGGCCUGGUUUAGAUCCACAUUU